GAUUUUUUUCAACAAGAAAUGUUGGUUUGGGAUACCACUAGUAAAUAGUGUCUACAGAUAAAAUUAAGACUUAAGUGUACAAAACUUUAUGGCUCUCCGUACGGCACCUUUCACGCAAGACAACGACCACUCUACUAUCUUAACUUUAAGUGAAGGAACUGCAUAUAAAAAACUGCGUUUGCCAGUCUAUUUAAGUACGGAUA